UACGGGGGGGGCAAGCGUUGUUCGGAAUUACUGGGCGUAAAGGGCUCGUAGGUGGCCAACUAAGUCAGACGUGAAAUCCCUCGGCUUAACCGGGGAACUGCGUCUGAUACUGGAUGGCUUGAGUUCGGGAGAGGGAUGCGGAAUUCCAGGUGUAGCGGUGAAAUGCGUAGAUAUCUGGAGGAACACCGAUGGCGAAGGCAGGUCUCUGGGCCACUACUGACGCUGAGAAGCGAAAGCAUGGGGAGCGAACAGG
rnacentral:rRNA from 1 species